GUUCUUAUNNUUGAGGUACAACGAUGAUUUUUCAUGUCAUUGGUCAUGGU
rnacentral:tRNA from 1 species